CACAAAUAAUUUUCCUAAUUUGGAAAAAUAGAAGGAAGCAUUUGAUGCAAGGAAUUGCACUAAAUUAUGCAGGCAAGUUCUAGCCAAAAUCCAUACUGAAACAUGAUUUCAAUUUAUAAAAAUAACAAUUGAACAACAUAUAAAUCAACAAUGAAGUUCCAGAUAAAUAAAAGCUCCACGGAAAAAUGAGAAAAGAAAGAAGAAGAACAGAAAAUUGAAGAACAAUGACUCUCUCCUUCCUUUAGGUGCAUGAUGUAUGUCUAUGAUACAGAUUCAGAGAACCAUAUAAGCUAGGCU
rnacentral:lncRNA from 1 species